CUUCUACCCCAACCCAACUUCUCUCGACAAGACACGGAUGAGUGAUCUUAGCCAUUUUAUUACACUAUUUUCGUUCUUGUUGGUUGCAGCACAGGACACUGGACGCCAAGUUCACAAACAAGAUGACAUGGAAAGUUAUUUUAGAGCAUCGGCCAGUGUUACAACAAGAUACACUGAGUGUACUGCACGGAUAGAUUUAGUUUGAUAUGCGAGUUAUUACACAACAAUUUCCAUCGAAGUGCAAUGAAGGUUAUAAAAAUGGACUGAAGUAUACACGGUCACCUACAUAGCCACACAUGAAUAUGUUGUUUCAAAGGGAGGCUUGACUCUUCGGUCAGGACGGCGUGGACCGUGUUCAACAUAUGGCAGGCUAUCAACUCGAAGAGCGUCUUGAAGCCCACAUCACUCACCAAGACAACCAUCAAGGUCCACGGCGACCUCCAAUCGAAGAGCAGACAGAGCAACUAGAGAUUCAAGCCGCCUUCAUCACAACCACUUGCAAAUAUAGGCCUGCAUUCUGAGUCUCGCUGGUGUGCGGCAGUCUAGAUAUGUGUGCUGGGAAUAAUGAGCAACAUGAGUGUCAUAUACUUUUUCUAUGCAGGUGUGAACUUUUGUGUUGUCUGAGUCGAUCUUUGUUUGGUCUAUGGCUAUGUGCUAAUGUGUUUUGAUGAAUAAAGGCUACUGCUGGUUUUUACUGCUGUUACGGUGUUGAUUGGUUGAAGCUUGAGCUGCUCUAUUGUCUUCACCUUACAUUGGCUGGUUGAAGCUGAAACUGCUUCAUAUUCUUGCAA